rnacentral:rRNA from 1 species
ACUCCUACGGGAGGCAGCAGUGGGGAAUAUUGCACAAUGGGGAACUAGCAUGCAGCCAUGCCGCGUGUAUGAAGAAGGCCUUCGGGUUGUAAAGUACUUUCAGCAGUGAGGAAGGUAGUGUAGUUAAUAGCUGCAUUAUUUGACGUUAGCUGCAGAAGAAGCACCGGCUAACUCCGUGCCAGCAGCCGCGGUAAUACGGAGGGUGCGAGCGUUAAUCGGAAUUACUGGGCGUAAAGCGCAUGCAGGUGGUUUGUUAAGUCAGAUGUGAAAGCCCGGGGCUCAACCUCGGAAUAGCAUUUGAAACUGGCAGACUAGAGUACUGUAGAGGGGGUAGAAUUUCAGGUGUAGCGGUGAAAUGCGUAGAGAUCUGAAGGAAUACCGGUGGCGAAGGCGGCCCCCUGGACAGAUACUGACACUCAGAUGCGAAAGCGUGGGGAGCAAACAGGAUUAGAUACCCUGGUAGUGUACU